ACCAGCUACGACCCUGAAUACAAAGUCCUCGCCCUGGCACUGGCUCUCAACGCUUCUGUGGCGGCAACACUCCCAGAAGAAGACCGCAACCAAAGUUUCUCUGUUACAGAGUUUAUUGUGCGGUGGUGUUCCAAUGGAUAUGCUCUACCAAGCAACAUUUUCAACUACACAUGCGAGGAGUACUUGGCUAUGGCGCCAGUUACCUGUGACGCCCCAGUUACUUUGAGUGUUCCUGACGUCAACGGCCUGGGGACGUGCGCUGAGCGAAACAAGAUCGCAAACCUCUGCAAGGAAGGAGACAGCAUCACC